rnacentral:rRNA from 1 species
UACAGAGGUGGCAAGCGUUGUUCGGAAUUACUGGGCGUAAAGGGCGCGUAGGCGGUUCGAUAAGUCCCGUGUGAAAUCCCUCGGCUCAACUGAGGAACUGCACGGGAAACUGACGGGCUUGAGUUCGGGAGAGGGAAGCGGAAUUCCGGGUGUAGCGGUGAAAUGCGUAGAUAUCCGGAGGAACAUCAGUGGCGAAAGCGGCACCCUGGCAUUAGCCUGACGCUCAGGUGCGAAAGCGUGGGGAGCGAACGGG